UUGGCUGGAUGGUCUACUUGCCAAACUGUUAGGCAGCUUUCCUAGGGCCAGCUCAGGAAGGAUGGAAACCUCCACUAGAGGUGAAGAGCAAAAGCUUGCUUGAUCUUGACUUUCAGUGUGAGUACAGACUGUGUAAGUGGGCCCUCAUCUUCCUUCUGACUUUUAGGGUUUUUGCCCAAAACCCCAAACAUUCCUAAUCGAUCUUAAGUUUACACCUGUCAAUUGUAAUCUUUAUUUUUCAGAAAGAAG
rnacentral:ncRNA from 1 species